rnacentral:tRNA from 1 species
GGGAGGGCGGCCGUAGAGGUGUUAAGUUGUAGCCUUAGUUAUGAGAUGGGUAUCUCUCUUCCUA